UGGAUUCACCUAGGUGCUAGCAAGAUUAACACGAACCCAAUAGGAUUUCUCUAAAUCUAUAUUAAUUGAUACUUCAUAAGCCCAAUUAUAAUUAAUUAAGGUCUUCUUUCUUUAUGUGUGAUACCAUAGGUUCAAUUCUAUCUGGUAGUAAGACAUAUCAUGAUCUCUAUUAUAGGCAUUACUGAAAUUUUUUUCAGUGGGUCGGAAUAGUUUCACUCUAACUCGACAA
rnacentral:lncRNA from 1 species